UGUCCAACGUUAAUCGGGGCAGGGUGAGUCGACCCCUAAGGCGAGGCCGAAAGGCGUAGUCGAUGGGAAACAGGUUAAUAUUCCUGUACUUGGUGUUACUGCGAAGGGGGGACGGAGAAGGCUAUGUUAGCCGGGCGACGGUUGUCCCGGUUUAAGCAUGUAGGCGGAACGAUUAGGUAAAUCCGGUCGUUUAUUAACGCUGAGGUGUGAUGACGAGGCACUACGGUGCUGAAGUAACAAAUGCCCUGCUUCCAGGAAAAGCCUCUAAGCAUCAGGUAACAUCAAAUCGUACCCCAAACCGACACAGGUGGUCAGGUAGAGAAUACCAAGGCGCUUGAGAGAACUCGGGUGAAGGAACUAGGCAAAAUGGUGCCGUAACUUCGGGAGAAGGCACGCUGAUAUGUAGGUGAAGCCCCUGCGGGUGGAGCUGAAAUCAGUCGAAGAUACCAGCUGGCUGCAACUGUUUAUUAAAAACACAGCACUGUGCAAACACGAAAGUGGACGUAUACGGUGUGACGCCUGCCCGGUGCCGGAAGGUUAAUUGAUGGGGUUAGCGGCAACGCGAAGCUCUUGAUCGAAGCCCCGGUAAACGGCGGCCGUAACUAUAACGGUCCUAAGGUAGCGAAAUUCCUUGUCGGGUAAGUUCCGACCUGCACGAAUGGCGUAAUGAUGGCCAGGCUGUCUCCACCCGAGACUCAGUGAAAUUGAACUCGCUGUGAAGAUGCAGUGUACCCGCGGCAAGACGGAAAGACCCCGUGAACCUUUACUAUAGCUUGACACUGAACACUGGUCCUUGAUGUGUAGGAUAGGUGGGAGGCUUUGAAGCGUGGACGCCAGUCUGCGUGGAGCCGACCUUGAAAUACCACCCUUUAAUGGCUGGUGUUCUAACGUAGACCCGUAAUCCGGGUUGCGGACAGUGUCUGGUGGGUAGUUUGACUGGGGCGGUCUCCUCCCAAAGAGUAACGGAGGAGCACGAAGGUUAGCUAAUCCUGGUCGGACAUCAGGAGGUUAGUGCAAUGGCAUAAGCUAGCUUGACUGCGAGAGUGACGGCUCGAGCAGGUGCGAAAGCAGGUCAUAGUGAUCCGGUGGUUCUGAAUGGAAGGGCCAUCGCUCAACGGAUAAAAGGUACUCCGGGGAUAACAGGCUGAUACCGCCCAAGAGUUCAUAUCGACGGCGGUGUUUGGCACCUCGAUGUCGGCUCAUCACAUCCUGGGGCUGAAGUAGGUCCCAAGGGUAUGGCUGUUCGCCAUUUAAAGUGGUACGCGAGCUGGGUUUAGAACGUCGUGAGACAGUUCGGUCCCUAUCUGCCGUGGGCGCUGGAGAAUUGAGGGGGGCUGCUCCUAGUACGAGAGGACCGGAGUGGACGCAUCACUGGUGUUCGGGUUGUCAUGCCAAUGGCACUGCCCGGUAGCUAAAUGCGGAAAAGAUAAGUGCUGAAAGCAUCUAAGCACGAAACUUGCCCCGAGAUGAGUUCUCCCUGACCCUUUAAGGGUCCUGAAGGAACGUUGAAGACUACGACGUUGAUAGGUCGGGUGUGUAAGCGCAGCGAUGCGUUGAGCUAACCGAUACUAAUGAACCGUGAGGCUUAACCUU
rnacentral:rRNA from 1 species